rnacentral:misc_RNA from 1 species
GAUGAAGAACGCAGCGAAAUGCGAUAAGUAAUGUGAAUUGCAGAAUUCAGUGAAUCAUCAAAUCUUUGAACGCACAUUGCGCCCGCCAGUAUUCUGGCGGGCAUGCCUGUUCGAGCGUCAUUUCAACCAUCAAGCCCCCCCGGCUUGUGUUGGGGACCUGCGGCUGCCGCAGGCCCUGAAAAGCAGUGGCGGGCUCGCUGUCACACCGAGCGUAGUAGAUCUCAUCUCGCUCAGGGCGUGCUGCGGGUUCCGGCCGUUAAACCACCUUCAUAACCCAAGGUUGACCUCGGAUCAGGUAGGAAGACCCGCUGAACUUAAGCAUAUCAAUAAGCGGAGGA